CUGCUGCAGCUGGAGACCGCGGGGACGAUGUGAGGGAAAACCUGUAGUCUACUGAAAGUAUUUUUUAAAACUAUUCGUUUAAUUUUUGUCUUCACGGCGAUAAAUGUAUAUAUUUUUUUAAUUUUCACGACGAGUAAUACUGGUCUGCGCAACUUUUUAAACGACGAAAGGUGCUCACCUGCUUGUAGUCACUUCAAAAAGGAAAUCGUCCUGCUGAUGUGCUGCAGGUGUAAACAGGCUGGCAUCAAAGGCAGGCCAGGUAGCCCGGCUCCGCAAUUGAAGCUGCAGUUGAGUGUGAACCCGUCCCAAAUGCUGCUGUAAUGGACCUGAUGCCCCCUGCCCUUUCCCGACCUGUGUAAAAUAUAGCAUCAGAGGUUCACAAGGAUGGCCUGGUGAACAGUGUGCCCCCAGCUCUCGAUAUGACGACGCCUGAUUCCCCUGCAGUUCACGGCUGGCCGAUGACACCACAACGUCAAGAUAAGACUGGGAAGUCCAUCCACAGACAUCUCACGGACCAGCAGCUUUGUGGACAACAUGGACUUUGCCAUUCCAUCGCCUGUGGGGACUGACAUGACUCAGUCGGUUGAGCGCUGGUCAGCAGCGAAAGUCAUCCGAAGAAUGCAGCGCUUUGUGGCUAUAGCGGAAAUUUCAGAGAAACGUGUGCAUAAAACAGGACUGCGCUGUUGGAGCCAGACUGAUCCAUCCGGAGGAUAAGGUUAGGAGAGGGAUUCUCAAAAAGGAUGAAAGGUGACGGCAAUGGACCAGAAGGUGGAGGUUGUUCAGAAGGUUCUGGAAGAGCGGUCCAGGCCCAAGCCUGAUUUCCUGCAGGGGAACAAAGAUCGCUUCAGUGCCAGGGUCACCUUUCUGAAGCAUCUGGGCAAUAGGCACGGACCAGGCCCAACGACGACAUCAACGCCAGCAGCCAUGUUGCCAGACCAGUCCAGCCAGGCGGCAGCCGCAGAAGCAAGAAUUUCACUCCCCGUUUUACAUGCUGCUCCCAAAAAAUGCCAAUGGCAAUGACCUCUGACCUCAGCGAGUAGGGGAGGGGUGGGGAGUAGCUCUUUCUUGGCAUCUCAUAAAUUUCUUUUGAGGGCUGCAUGGAGAACCUUUGCUCCACUUGAGUCAUUCCUGGUUAUAAGUGAAAACUAUUCAGCCAGAGCAGUGCAGCAGGCCUGUGGCAUUUAGAAAUAGCAAUAAUAACCGACAGAUUAUUUAUGCAUCUUGGUUCAGAUGACAUUUAAAAAUUGUACAUGAAACCUGUGGGUGAUAGUUUCAGUGUGAAUGCAAUUGGCUCAAAGCUUUCACAAACAAACAAUCGAAUGAUAAAUCAACAGGAACGUAAAGGUCAGGAGGAAACCCUCAAGUGCAGAAGCAUUUAAAAAGCAACCGUAACUAAUACUGAAAAAAUUAUCAUGAAAAAAAACAAAUAAAACUUUAUAUUUACACUGUUAACACUGGAAUUAAAAAUGCGCUACUUGAGAACUGUUUCUCAUACUUUGCAGGUUUGAUGUGUUGCUUUGUAUUAUAUAUUUUAUAACAGUGUUAAUGACACUUUCCAGUAGCCUUUUAGCCUGGAUAGCCUCCACAUAGCAAUGGAGCCAAACUGUAGGGACUAAUCAAGAGCUGAUUUAUUGCUACUGUUAAGCUAAUAACACGUAUCAAAACAGCCAUGAGAGGACUUGGUGCAGUCGAAAAUAGCCAGAGAAGACUGACAGUUUUACUGUGUUGUGCAGUCAGUUUCACUUGAGUGCCAGAAUUUAAACUUGUGGUUUUUUUCACAGUAGUAUUCCGGAAAAAAAAGAACCUUCCUUCCAGGGUCUCGGGCAGUAGGGACCCAUCUGAAAUUAAUUUGCCCCGUUGAAUUUGUGAUUAUAUUUUCCUUUGCCAGUGAAUUAGGUGCCGAAUUCCUUCUCACAGGGCAGAAUUACUCAGAAUGAAUGAGUAAUGAAGAGAAAUAGUGGAAAAAUGUGUACAGUUUAAACGGUAGGGCUUUGAAAACCCCACAUUAUUCAAUGUAAACACAUUAUUCUGCAUGAUUGACUCGGAUAUGGCGCUACCACAGUGAGAGGUGAAGUCAUGGUCUUAAGCUCUGUGCCGGCAGGCACGCUUUCAGUGGAUUUCACUCCUGUUUUCAUUUUCAUUCUGAGGUGGUUAAAAAUGAAAAAGCAAUCGCAAAAAGAUAAAUGACAAGUCUUUGAUCACGAGACUCCGUGAAUAAGAACAGACCGAUCGUGAAAAAAUAUUUGUGUGACAGUCAGAAGGUCUAUCUGCCAUUUCUUUAAACAAAUCUUUCUGGAUUUUUGUUUUGCAGGUGGUCUGCAUUUGCCACCAGGUGCUCUUGAAAACGAAACACAAGCUGUUGUUCAGAGAAGAUCGCCAGUAACAUUCUGCUGUCCGUGCCAGUAACAUUUCUCUGCAUUUGGUUCAAGAUUUGUUGGAAUACCCAGUUGGAACUCUUGGCCUCUCCCAUUGCCGUUUCCGUUGACUCUGCAGCAAUCCAAUCCAACAUCAGGGGGAACUGCUGAACUGCUGGGAGCACUUGCAGUCACAGUCCGAAUGACUGAAACCCUUCCUCCCUGGCGUCAGCCAUUUCCAGAGGAACUCAGCUGACAGCCUCAAAUGGGGGAGUGGAUGAUUUCCCAUCAUGCACCGGUGCAGCAUGUUGACUGUGGUUUUUCCUGACUCCCACCUGCGUGAUGAUCGUACCGUAGCAUCAGGGCACUUAACCACUGCCCCGGAGGUGUUGAAAACUGUGUUCCCUGGAAGAGACACUCGGAUGAGCUCUUCUUGGAAGGAGACAAGACUUGGCUUGAAGUCUCUUAGCCGCAGAUGGGCUGUCAAAACCUCUCUUCACAACCGUCACUGAAUUGCCAAAAUCACACGGCCGAGGAGGUUGCUGCCAAGGUCCUCCCUGACUGCUGAGAGCGUCCUCUGCUAUCCUUCCAGAGACUGCAGCACCAUUGAUUUCCAGUGUCAGUGGAGGAAUGUAAACACCAACAAAUAGGUUCUGUGGGAGAGAAGGAAC